GGGGACGUUCUUGGAUUCGACGGGGGUAGUUCGAGCAUGGGUUGCGGGUAGCGGGGACGCGUCCGCUUCAUCAACGCUAAAGCCAAUUAAAUGGCAAACAACAAAACAACUACGCUUUCGCAGCUUAAUAACCUGUGAGCGUGCUCCUGCUCUGCAUCGCCCAUGUGCCGGGAUAGGGGCUCAACCUUAGUGGGAUACGCUGUCUAGUCUCCGCCUGCGGCUAGCUGAAGAAGACAAUCAGGCUGACCCAACGCAGAGCCGGUUACGGGGCGCUGCUCGGGUGACAUCAAAACUGUGACUACACCCGUAGAAGCCUGUGUGGCGUUAUCUUCGGACAGGGGUUCGACUCCCCUCGUCUCCA
rnacentral:tmRNA from 1 species